GGGUUAGCUCAGUUGAUUAGAGCAGGGUGCUGAUAACGCCAAGGUCGCGGGUUCAAUCCACACAUGGGCCA